AUUGAACGCUAGCGGGAUGCUUUACACAUGCAAGUCGAACGAGUGGCGGACGGGUGAGUAAUAUAUCGGAACGUGCCCAGUAGCGGGGGAUAACUACUCGAAAGAGUGGCUAAUACCGCAUACUAUUUGAGCGGCCGAUAUCGGAUUAGCUAGGUGGUGGGGUAAAGGAUCACACAGUCAACGAUCCGUAGCUGGUUUGAGAGGACGACUAGCCACAAUGGGACUGAGACACGGCCCAGCGUCCUCCGUGAGGCAGCAGUGGGGAAUGUUGUACAAUGGGGGAAUCCCUGAUCCAGACAUCCCGCGUGUAUGAGAAGGCCUUCGGGUUGUAAAGUACUUUUGGCAGAGAAGCGGUAUCUGCAGAAUAAGCACCGGCUAACUACGUGCCAGCAGCCGCGGUAAUAC
rnacentral:rRNA from 1 species